AUAGUGUUAUUCUGCUCCAGAAUUUUGGUUUCAUUGUUUUAUAGUUUCAAUGUCUUUGGUGAAGUUCUCCUUCUCUUCAUUAAUUUUAUUCCUGAGCUCAUUUAACUAUCUUUCUGUCUUUUCUUGUAACUCUUUGAGUAUCUUCAUGACAGCCAUUUUGAAGUCUCUGUCAGUUAGAUUGCAAUCUUCCAUGACUUUAAGUUUGGUUUCUGGAAAAUUGUCAUUUUAUUUUUGUGAUACCAUGUUAUUGCAGUUUUCCAUGGUGCUUGAUGAGUUGUUCCUGUGCUGACACACUUGCGAUGAACACAUUUCUUACUUGGGUGUGGCUGCUGCAUGUGCCACUUGUGCUGCUGCUCCCAAGUUUUCUGAGUGUGCUGGCAUGUCCUCUGCUGGGGGCGCUAACUUUGUGCCAGUAUGAUUCCUGGAGCCUCAGGUCACAGGCACUGCUGCCACUGCUGUGGAGAUGGUGGUCUUGGAUGCAGUCUCUGCUCCUGGGAAGGCUGGAGUCAAGACACUGUCGCAGAGGGAGAGAGAGUGGGCUGAGUCACAGCUAGGUUACAACUAUUCUUGGAAAAAUUAUCCUGGAAAUAAAAUUGAAAAAAACUGGAUAAAAAGAACUCCUACAACAAGGGACAGUCCUGACUGAGGCAGAAGAGGAAGAAAUUCCUUCUGGAGAGAAAAAAGCCACCUUCCGGAGCAGUGGAGCUUCACAGCCAGCCAGGCAGGAGCCAUCCUGAGUAUAGGAUCCAGUCUAAGAUCUGGUGCUGCAUCUGAGUCAGGAAAGUAGCAUCUGUGCUCUAAGGAGAGGCUUUCAGGCAAGGAACUGCUAAAGGAGCCUUCCGCCAACAUCUUCUGAGAAACUGAGGCUUCAGGACAACAGCCUGCAGGGAACUGAAUCCUGACAACAAAACAGAUGGGUGAUCUUGCCAGCGCAUCCUUGCCAGUCAUGCCCCACUCCCAACAGGAGACGGCACCUGCAGCCAACGCCUUACUGGCAUCUAUGUGAGAUAUCCUGAAGUGGUGGAUCCACCUACGCCAUACCUGAAUGCUUGACUCACAGAAACUGUAAGAUAACAAAUGUGUAUUGUUUUAAGCUGAUAAACUUUGGGGUAAUUUGUUGCACAGUACUAGAUAACUAAU
rnacentral:lncRNA from 1 species